CACUAUAGUGGUCCUUUAAAGGAUCACUAUAGUGUCAGGAAAACCGCUUCCUGACACUAUAGUGCCCUGAGGGUGCCCCCACCCUCAGGGUCCCCCUCCCGUUAAAAACCCCUUCAGCAGCUUACCUUAUUCCAGUGCCGUCUCCCUCUGCGCUGGAGACCUCUCUCCCCCACCGACGUCAGCUCCUGAUUGGAGCGGAAUGCGCAUGCGUAGCAAGAGCCCCGCAUGCAUUAAAACAGUCCAUAGGAAGGCAUUUCAAAAUGCUUUCCUAUGGACGUUCUGCGCAAUUGAUGCAAAAUUCGCACUCAGCGUCGCAGAUGCUACUCUCGCAGCUGUCCAGAAGACAGCCACUAGAGGUUGGCUUAACCCCUAAUGUAAACAUAGCAGUUUCUCUGAAACUGAUAUGUUUACAUCUGAAGGGUUAAAACCUGAGGGACCUGGCACCCAGACCAUUUCAUUAAACUGAAGUGGUCUGGGUGACUAUAAUGUCCCUUUAAAGUGUUCAAUUCCUUUUGCCUUCAAAGCAUUAUUCCCUGGGCUGGUCUCCCACUGGCUUAUUUUCUAUGUAGACACAUUUUUAGCUAUUGUUAUAGCAACUAUAUUUAUGCUUUGUUGUUAUUGUUGUAGCUCAUAGUUUUCUUUAACAUAUGCAUAAUGUAGAUGCGUUUUUUUUUUUUAGAUAUGUACAGAUACCAGCCAUUAACUGGCUAAAUUAUUAAAAUAAAUUGAUGAUAAAGUUAUUGUGACAUAAUAUUUUAAAAUGUAUGACCUUCUGUAAUCUGAUUAUGUAAAACAGUGGAUCGGAAAUGUGUGGCCAGCAUUUAGAAAUGGAUUAGUUAAACAUGGACUUUCAUGUCCAUGUAAGGGUUAAGAUAGCUGUACUCAUAUUUCUAUAAGCAUCGUUGGCUGAAGAAGAGAUUGUGACACCUAAAUCUCAUAUGAACACCACCAGGAACUCCUGGGUUCAUGUAAUAAUCAGUUACAAUUACAGGGCUAUAUUUAAUACUAUAGGCAACAAAACUAAAGUACAGGCAUUUGAACACUAUUUAAUAAACACUCC